rnacentral:rRNA from 1 species
GGGUCAGUAGGUUGGUCGUGCCACCGGUACGUACUGGUCUCACUGAUUCCUCCUUCCUGAAGAACCGUAAUGCCAUUAAUUUGGUGUUGCGGGGAAACAGGACUGUUACUUUGAAAAAUUAGAGUGUUUAAAGCAGGCUAACGCUUGAAUACAUUAGCAUGGAAUAAUGAAAUAGGACGAUCGAUCCUAUUUUGUUGGUUUCUAGGAUUGACGUA